rnacentral:rRNA from 1 species
UACGUAGGGGGCGAGCGUUGUCCGGAUUUAUUGGGCGUAAAGAGCUCGUAGGCGGCUUGUCGCGUCGAAUGUGAAAUCUCAGGGCUCAACUCUGACAUUGCAUUCGAUACGGGCAGGCUAGAGUUCGGUAGGGGAGACUGGAAUUCCUGGUGUAGCGGUGAAAUGCGCAGAUAUCAGGAGGAACACCGGUGGCGAAGGCGGGUCUCUGGGCCGAUACUGACGCUGAGGAGCGAAAGCGUGGGGAGCGAACAGG